CCUACGUGAGGCAGCAGUAGGGAAUCUUCCACAAUGGGCGAAAGCCUGAUGGAGCAACGCCGCGUGGGUGAAGAAGGUCUUCGGAUCGUAAAACCCUGUUGUUAGAGAAGAAAGUGCGUGAGAGUAACUGUUCACGUUUCGACGGUAUCUAACCAGAAAGCCACGGCUAACUACGUGCCAGCAGCCGCGGUAAUACGUAGGUGGCAAGCGUUAUCCGGAUUUAUUGGGCGUAAAGGGAACGCAGGCGGUCUUUUAAGUCUGAUGUGAAAGCCUUCGGCUUAACCGGAGUAGUGCAUUGGAAACUGGGAGACUUGAGUGCAGAAGAGGAGAGUGGAACUCCAUGUGUAGCGGUGAAAUGCGUAGAGAUAUGGAAGAACACCAGUGGCGAAAGCGGCUCUCUGGUCUGUAACUGACGCUGAGGUUCGAAAGCGUGGGUAGCAAACAGGAUUAGAUACACCUGUAGUC
rnacentral:rRNA from 1 species